GUCAACGACCCGUCGCUAAAAGCGAGGGCUCCUUAUAGCCCAAGUUGACCAGCCUAAGUGCUACGCGCACUACGUUAACGGCAAGUGUUAAAAAUCCUACCUUGGGAUGCGUGCCAGUUCCAAGCUCUAGAACCGAGUGGUUAAACAGGUCUAAAGGGUUAAGAAGCGUGCUGCUUGGAAAGUACCGACCGUUAACAUUGGCGAGGACCCACUUUAC
ncrna:Microcoleus chthonoplastes PCC 7420 HNH endonuclease-associated RNA and ORF (HEARO) RNA